UACGGAGGGUGCAAGCGUUAUCCGGAUUCACUGGGUUUAAAGGGUGCGUAGGUGGGCAGGUAAGUCAGUGGUGAAAUCUCCGGGCUUAACUCGGAAACUGCCAUUGAUACUAUCUUUCUUGAAUACCGUGGAGGUCAGCGGAAUAUGUCAUGUAGCGGUGAAAUGCUUAGAUAUGACAUAGAACACCAAUUGCGAAGGCAGCUGGCUACACGAAUAUUGAC
rnacentral:rRNA from 1 species